rnacentral:rRNA from 2 species
GCUUAGCCAUUAACCAAGACAUUUCAACACCCAACUCCGCCAGAGAACUACAAGUAAAAACUUAAAACUCUAAGGACUUGACGGUGUCCCAUAUCAACCUAGAGGAGCCUGUCCUAUAAUCGACAACCCACGCUAUACCUUACCGCCUCUUGCAAAACAACCUAUAUACCGCCGUCGUCAGCCCACCUCCUGAGAGUCCUAAAGUGAGCUAAAAUGUAUACCACAAAAACGUCAGGUCAAGGUGUAGUAUAUGGGGCGGAAAGAGAUGGGCUACAUUCUCAAGAAUAGAGAAAACACAAAGCACAAUGAAAUACUGCCACAAGGAGGAUUUAGAAGUAAACUAGACAAGAAAAUCUAAUUGAACUAUGCUCUGGGACGCGU